rnacentral:rRNA from 1 species
UACGUAGGGGGCAAGCGUUGUCCGGAAUCAUUGGGCGUAAAGAGCGUGUAGGCGGCCCGGUAAGUCCGCUGUAAAAGUCAAAGGCUCAACCUUUGAAUGUCAGUGGAUACUGCCGGGCUAGAGUCCGGAAGAGGCGAGUGGAACUCCUGGUGUAGCGGUGGAAUGCGCAGAUAUCAGGAGGAACACCGGUGGCGAAGGCGGGUCUCUGGGCCGAUAUCGACGCUGAGGAGCGAAAGCGUGGGGAGCGAACAGG